UCUCUCUCUCUCUCUCUCUCUUUCUCUUUCUCUUUCUCUUUCUCUCUCAUGAAAGGUAAGCCUUAAUACUUUGUGAUACAAUUGAAUGUUGGAUAAGCCAAAUGUCAAGAUAAUCUUUAGGCUCAUUGGUUUGUCUUAAUCUUUUUCUGGAUUAUCUUUGGAACGUGUUUAUCUCUGAUUCAGGGAUGGAAGAGAAAUAACCAUGAUGAUACUUUGUUUCAAUUUCAUCGAAAGCUCUUCAAUAGGUUAAUGUUUAAUUUUGAUUUACUUGUUCGGAUUAAAAGAGUACUUAUGUUUGUGUGAUGUUCUGGAUUAGGUUACAAUGGAUGGAAAGAGAAAAGGAUAACUCAUUGUGCCCACAAAGGCCUACACAUGACCCACAACACCCUCAUCCACCCACACCCUCCCUCAUCCACCCCAACACUCCUUCAACCCUCCCUAAAGUUAACCCAUUAUACUGUUACGUAAACUCAUUUUUAGACUUUUAACUAUUUUCUCUUUGUCCCUUUUUCUUUUCUCCUCUCCUUCCAUUUCCUUUUUUACUUUUCCUCUCUUUAGAAAUUGUACAAAAAGGAGAUCCCUUUGUGGAAUAUACAAUCUUCCCUUCUCCAUCAUCAUCCCACUUCUUUUACACUUGUGACCUUGUCAAGGUCAGGUCAAGAUUUUUGGGUCACCCUAAAGGGAGAAUCACAUAUUGCUUUCUCAAGGUCUUUUCUCCCUUCCAUUAUCAUCAAAGCGACACAAAAAAAGACCAAACCAAUAACAUUCAUCUUUAGUUUGA